GAUGAACGCUAGCGGCAGGCCUAAUACAUGCAAGUCGUGGGCUGUCAUGGUAGCAAUACCAUGAUAACCGGCGGACGGGUGCGUAACACGUACGCAACCUACCCCUUACUGGAGGAUAGCUCUCGGAAACGGGAAUUAAUACUCCAUAAUGUCCUAUUGGGGCAUCUUGAUAGGAUUAAAGCCGCGAGGCGGUAAGGGAUGGGCGUGCGGCCGAUUAGCUAGUUGGUGAGGUAAUGGCUCACCAAGGCUAUGAUCGGUAGGGGAACUGAGAGGUUGGUCCCCCACACGGGCACUGAGACACGGGCCCGACUCCUACGGGAGGCAGCAGUAGGGAAUAUUGGACAAUGGGCGAAAGCCCGAUCCAGCCAUGCCGCGUGCAGGACGAAGGCCCUAUGGGUUGUAAACUGCUUUUGCAGAGGAGAAAUAAGGCCGAUUUAUCGGUCGAUGAUAGUACUCUGCGAAUAAGCAUCGACUAACUUCGUGCCAGCAGCCGCGGUAAGACGAAGGAUGCGAGCGUUAUCCGGAUUCACUG
rnacentral:rRNA from 1 species